GCUGACACUGUGCUCCAUUAAAAUCCGUCGACCUACCAUGUCUCCUUACAGAAUGGUGACUUUCACUUUCUUUCUGAUAUUUCGGAUCACCACAUGACCUUUUCUCAGCUACCUCAAAUCGAAUUCCCAAUCUUUUUUGCCUCUCUCUCUCUCUCUCUCUCUCUCUCUCGAGAAAUCUCAAAUUGUUUUGAGAUUCAACAACAAUCCACCCGAACCGAAAGAAAAAAGGAGGACAAGAAAAGCCAGGAGACAAGACAAACCUAGUUAUUCCUUUUCUUUUUCCGUUUGUCUUUGCUGAGCUUUCGUUUGUGGAUUGUGGGUCUUUUAUUUGUCUCUCGUUAGGUGGAGUCUGCGCAAAAAUAUCUUUUGGCCUUUUCUUGCCUCUUUUUCUUUGACGCGGCAAAAGUCAAGUGAUAAAUUAACUUUGCUCCCAUUUUGGAUUCUGUUCACUCCUUUUUCUUUCUUUCUUCGAUAUAACAAAUUCUUACCAGUAAUCUUUCUAUCGUCGAAUUUAUUUUUUUUUGGGUUCAAAGUUUAUAAAUUUGUAGUUCAUUGUUAUAGAUGUACUGCCGAUCUUAAAGUUCAUGUCUUUGGCUAUUGGAGCUACAUCAAGUUUGAGAAAUAUGGGGUUUGAUGACGACAAGAAGAAGAAGGAAGGAGGAGAGAAAAGUGGAGUUCUGGAAACACGUGACGGGGAUCAUGAUGGUGGAGUGAGGAUAGGAAGGCAGAUGAGUGAGAGUGAGACCUCUAUGUAUGCGACUGAUCACGAAGAGGGGGAUGAUGAGAACGGAACCAACAAACUUCAGCUGGGUCCUCAGUACACCCUCAAAGAACAGCUUGAAAAAGACAAGGAUGAUGAGAGCUUGAGGAAAUGGAAGGAGCAGCUUCUUGGGAGUGUGGAUUUGAACAAAAUUGGAGAAACGCUUGAACCAGAUGUGAAAUUUCUUAACCUGUCGAUCCUUUCUCCUGGUAGACCAGACAUCGUACUUUCUAUUCCUGAGAAUGGGAAGCCCAAAGGCCUGUGGUUUACAUUGAAAGAAGGCAGUCCCUACAGCUUGAAAUUCUCCUUCCAAGUCAGUAAUAACAUUGUGUCUGGCCUCAAGUACACCAAUACUGUCUGGAAAACUGGCGUCAAGGUGGACAGCACAAAAGAAAUGCUUGGAACCUACAGUCCUCAGCCAGAGGCUUACACGCAUGUUAAUCCAGAGGAGACCACACCCUCGGGCAUGUUUGCUAGAGGAUCAUACUCUGCAAGGUCGAAGUUUUUUGAUGAUGAUAACAAGUGCUACUUGGAGAUCAACUACACCUUUGGCAUUCGAAAAGAUUGGGCUGCUACUUGAAUGAUCGAUCAUUCUUCCAACAACCUUUUCACACAUCUGUCUCACUCAGUUAUAAUUCUUAAACUACUACUACUACUAGUUCCAUGUCUUCACUGAUCUUCACGCCAUGUUUAAUUGUUGUCUCUAGUUCCAUUAACCUCUUGUAAUCAUGUCUGCGGCCAGAUAUCUCACAGCAAUAGAGACGAAGAAAGUGCAAAUGUUACAGAAUCAAAACCGACCUCUAGAAGGGCCACCAGACUCGUCAACAACAAAAAAAUGGAGCAUAUGAGCUUGAAAGGGCCACCGUAACUGCUAUACACAGUUGAAAGUAACCUCCCAUCUGACCUCUACCUCCUCCCUGGCUCCAGGUUGAUAUUAGCCUUUCCCAGCUUGUCAAGAAUCCAACUUGGCCCUGGACUUUUCUUUUCUUUUUCCCCAAAACUCUUCUUGCUAGCAAUGAUUAUUCUCACAGGAGAAAGGGAGAGCUUGUUGGGAAUGGCAAGUAACCUUUAAGCUACUCUUUCGAGUGUUAGAUUAAGUUCUUAAUCAAGUUGUUAACUGAGAAAUUGAAUUUAACUGUAUAGAUGGGUGGAAUCAGAUUAUGUAAGGUCGUGAUUAGUCGAUGAACACACGAAGAGACCCUCC